rnacentral:lncRNA from 1 species
AAGACACAAACAUACAACCUGGCUUCACCAACCUAGAAGUACAGCCACCUCCCAAGUUGUAACCUUCUCUAUCUGGAGCCGUGAGAACGUUACCUCUGUUUUGAGUAGAACAGUUAUCAAGAUAGAAAGAUAGAAAAUAUCCCUGUUCUCAAGGAUCUUGUAUACUAAUGAGGAGGAUAAAACAACGAAACUAAGAAAGUGGUAAGUGCUAUGAAGACAAGUAAACAGCGCAGCAUGAAGAUAACACAAUAAGUUAAAGCUACAGAAGAGAAGGAGUGCCACUCACAGUGUUAAAGGUAGACCCCACUAAGAAAAUGACAUUGAGCAGAGACUUGUAUGGUAAGAAGAAAAUGUGCAGAUGAACAUCUGAAACAGAGCGUUCUAGGCAAAGGGAAUGGCAAAGGCAAAGGCCAUUUUGAUGAGGCGGGAACAAAUGUGAUGUCUUUGAAGACUAGGAAAGGCUACUGCAGCUGAACACAGAAGACUCAGGGCGAUCCCAGCAGAGGGCUACUGGAAACCAAAGAAGAUGAGACAUGUCAAUUGCUGAUGAGAAG